rnacentral:rRNA from 1 species
AGUAAGGAAUAUUGGGCAAUGGACGCAAGUCUGACCCAGCCAUGCCGCGUGCAGGAUGACGGCCCUAUGGGUUGUAAACUGCUUUUGUACGGGAAGAACCCCUUCGAUUCUUCGGAGGCUGACGGUACUGUACGAAUAAGCAUCGGCUAACUCCGUGCCAGCAGCCGCGGUAAUACGGAGGAUGCAAGCGUUAUCCGGAUUUAUUGGGUUUAAAGGGUGCGCAGGCGGAAUGGUAAGUCAGUGGUGAAAUCUCCCGGCUCAACCGGGAAACUGCCGUUGAUACUGCCGUUCUAGAGUACAGUUGGGGUGGGCGGAAUGUGUCAUGUAGCGGUGAAAUGCUUAGAUAUGACACAGAACACCGAUCGCGAAGGCAGCUCACCAAGUUGUAACUGACGCUCAUGCACGAAAGCGUGGGGAUCAAACAGGAUUAGAUACCCUGGUAGUCCACGCCGUAAACGAUGAUCACUCGUUGUUGGCGAUACACAGUCAGCGACUGAGCGAAAGCAUUAAGUGAUCCACCUGGGGAGUACGACCGCAAGGUUGAAACUCAAAGGAAUUGACGGGGGCCCGCACAAGCGGUGGAGCAUGUGGUUUAAUUCGAUGAUACGCGAGGAACCUUACCUGGGCUUGAAAGAGGGACGAUCUUCCGUGAAAGCGGAAUUUCCUUCGGGACGUCCUUCUAGGUGCUGCAUGGUUGUCGUCAGCUCGUGCCGUGAGGUGUCGGGUUAAGUCCCAUAACGAGCGCAACCCCUAUUCUUAGUUGCCAGCAUGUAAUGAUGGGGACUCUAAGAAAACUGCCUACGCAAGUAGUGAGGAAGGUGGGGAUGACGUCAAAUCAGCACGGCCCUUAUGUCCAGGGCUACACACGUGCUACAAUGGUCGGUACAAUGGGCAGCUACCUGGUGACAGGAUGCUAAUCUCAAAAGCCGAUCUCAGUUCGGAUUGGAGUCUGCAACUCGACUCCAUGAAGCUGGAAUCGCUAGUAAUCGCGCAUCAGCCAUGGCGCGGUGAAUACGUUCCCGGGCCUUGUACACACCGCCCGUCAAGCCAUGGAAGCUGGGGGUGCCUGAAGUCCGUCACCGUGAGGAGCGGCCUAGGGUAAAACCAGUGACUGGGGCU